rnacentral:rRNA from 1 species
UACGUAGGGGCCUAGCGUUGUCCGGAUUUAUUGGGCGUAAAGAGCUCGUAGGCGGUUCGGUAAGUCAGGUGUGAAAUCUCCACGCUCAACGUGGAGGCGCCACCUGAAACUGCCGUGACUCGAGUCCGGUAGGGGAGUGUGGAAUUCCCGGUGUAGCGGUGAAAUGCGUAGAUAUCGAGAGGAACACCUGCGGCGAAGGCGGGUUGCUGGGCUGACACUGACGCUGAAGCGCGAAAGCUAGGGGAGCGAACGGG